rnacentral:lncRNA from 1 species
GAGAGAAAGGGCUGAGGACUGGGAGGCUGCGGCGGCUGCUGGCUCCUACAGCCGCUAGCUCCAGAGGAGGCGCGGCCAGAGUCGCGGGGACGUUGCCACCAAGAGCGGGGAAGGUGCGGAGACCCCGGACCGCGCGCAAGAGAAAACGCGGCGGCCGCACAAGCUGUCACCUCCAACCUCUCCCCUCGCGGCUGCCUCUGCCAGAAGCCAGAGCCGGACUCACUGACAAGCCGCAGAGAGAAAGACACUGAGAGGGAGAUGAUUAUUAGUUGCGUUGAGUCAUCAGGCAAAGCGCCUUAUAAAGGUUCACAGAGGAGUCCAGCAGACCUGGCCAUGGAUACCUGCGGCUCUACCGUCUGAUUUCCUUAUGCACACAAUGGAAGACACAAUUCAACUCCAUCAGAGGAAAAUGCUGGCCCAAAGACUCAUGCAUGCAAAGAGAUUAUUAUGUACCUGAUUAAUGUAAGAUGCCCAUAAUGAUACUAUAUUGCUAAAUCUAAGUUAAUAGACUAAUUUAUAUCUAUCCCAAAUAUUGGAGACAUAAAUCAUUUUUAGAGAGUGUAUACCCAAAUAUUACUGACCCAGGUGGCCUCAUAGCAUCUUAUCAGACGGCUGUCUACUCAAUAUAAAAAAAGUACUUA